rnacentral:lncRNA from 1 species
CUCGGAUCCCCGGGCCCUCCUUUUUCUUUACAGCAGUGUUCUUCGUUCCACUCCUGACCGACAGCACAGCCAGGGCCUUCUAUUCCAACACCUCUUCCAGCGACCUGGUCAGGUGUGGCCAAUGGAAGCAAGAGCCCAGUGAAGUCGCCUAAGUCCGAGGGCAUGGUGUAACUCACACGGAGCACAACCCUACUUGGAAUGGACCAUUCGUGGCUUUAGAAUCUUGAUGGACACGAGCAACUGUCGGCACAAUCUAUUUAAGAGUAUUCUGAGCCCUCAGAGAGCAGCCUUCUGCCCACAGGUGACCAAAUCCUUAUCCUCAAUAACCCUUCUAACUGAGCAGCCAACGAGCUGCCCUCUACCUAUUCAGGACAGCCUAGGAAUGGCUUCAUGCAGUAGGUGGCCUUCUGUGAUUGGCUCCUUUUCCUUGGUUCUUAUGCGUUGCUGUGUCAAAGCACGCAUCCAUUCUCCUUCCUUCUCAUGGAUGAGUUACUUCAACGGUAGACAGACCACCUUCCAGGUAUGUGUUCAUCAGUACAUGGGCAUUUAGGUUGUUCCCAUGUCCAGAAAUUAUGAUUUUCUAUGUCUCUAGACAGUUUGAAUCAUCUAGAGUGAGCUCUGCAGCCAGGAACAGGCCUGACUUAUGUGUGGGAACCUCCAGUGUCCAUGGAAGCCAGGCUUUUGCACCUGGUCCAGGUGCUUCUCCCCUGGUUACAUUGCUGAGGAUGGCCAUUGACCCAGCAGCUCUCUAUUUGUCCCCUUGCUGUCCUCAGACCCCUCUCCUGCAGCUUCAGAGUCUGAGUGGAGAAACAGGAAUACUUCCCCAAGAUUGGCCCCAUGUAAUCCUCUAUGUGUGCUACUGGUAAAUGGAAACCUUCGGGCCAAGGGAAAGUCAAGUUCUUGAGGGUGUGUCUGCUUCAGAGUCCAGGUCUCCUUCCCAUGUCCCACCUCACUUCUCUCAGUCUACUCUUUCUUCUGCUGACACCAGAAACUGCCCUACCUGCAUCAAUCCUAACAUACCAGUGGGACCAGCAGGAUGCAUACAAGAAGUCCAAAUAGUGCCAGGUUGCAUUUGUUGAAUGAGUGGAUGAGGGAUGAUUCCAUACUCUGGAAAUAAACUGUGGAGAAGGUCAGUUAUAAAUCUCUAUCUAUUACUACCCCUUUCCUAGUCUGGAAAUCAGCAUUUUCCUCACAAAGGUGGGUGAAGAAAGCACAAAAUGCUACCUCUAUAAUAGCUGCUAUUUAUUGGACCGGCAUUUAUAUGUCUGAUUGGUUUCAUAUCUCUCUCUCUCUCUCUCUCUCUCUCUCUCUCUCUCUCUCCCUCUCUCAGGCAAAGUUUCACAUAGCCCAGGCUGACCUGGAAUUUUCACAAUGUGACCGAGAAUAACCUUGAGCUUUUGAUCCUCCUGUUUCUAAUCCCAAGUGCUGGGAUCACAGGUGUGUGCGGAGACACUUGAUUUACUUGGUGCUGGGAAUAAAACCCAAGGCUUCUUGCACACUAUUCUACC